UUUAAACCUUAUAAUUAGGAAACUUGGAACCAAUAAUCUAUUCAAAAUAUCAAAUAACCAGUAAUUACUCCUUCUCAUAUAUAAAUUCAAUUCAUAUGUGAUUGAGCUGUAAAAGUGCCACAAGAAGAAGCGGGUUCUGCUUAGAAAGAACAAGAAACGAUGGGAAUCUGUAGAGAUAUGGUAGGUGCCCAACAAGGGCUACGAAGGAAAUGAGGAAAUAGAGCUGCACUUUUUGUAUACGCAUUGGAAGGGCUAGAGAACAUGGCGUUCGUUGCCAAUGCGGUGAGCCUAGUAACAUAUUUCUUUGGCUUCAUGAACUUUAGCUUAACAAAAUCUGCCACAACCUUGACCAACUUCAUGGGAACUGCAUUCUUGCUAUCUCUAGUUGGAGGAUUCAUCAGUGAUACAUAUCUGUCUAGGUUCAAAACAUGUGUUAUCUUUGCAUCCAUGGAAUUGCUGGUUCUGCUCUCAAGAAGCUUUUUGAUAAGUUGAGAUCUGAAUAGCUUGACAUACAUUAUUCAAUUCCAAAGGUAGCUACUGCUAUAUUCUUCCCUUGUCAGUUUCUUUGUGUUCCAAGUUCUUUUGCUUUGCUUAUAGUGUUAUCUUUACUUGAUGGCAUUUUAGACAAUGCUCCAGAAAAGGAUAUUUGGUC